CAGUGCCACAAGCCACUUGAAGCUCUUUCACCAAAAAAUCGCCGCAGCAAGAGAAAACAACACCAGCAAGCACACAAAGCACCCCGCAUAGCGCGCAGCAGUGCCCCCCCCCCCCCCCCCCCCCCCCCCCCCCCCCCCCCGCUUGAAGUGGCAACGAAGGAGACACCGAACAACACCAUCGGCCGUUCUGCCUCGCGACAGAGAACGCUUUGCGCGUUCAGCCCUCCCUCCCUAUUUGCUCUUUUCCGCCUUUUCUUUUCGCCACCGGAAAAUGGAGAUGAAACACUUGCUUGGCAAGCACAAGGUUGUGCUCGUCAACGGCAGGCCUGCACCGGCGGGUGUGACGGUGGAGUUCAAGGCCGGCGAGAACAGCGGAUCCGUCCACAUGCACGCGAGAGUGGCGAACAUCAUGAACGGCCAGUUGAGGCUCGAAAACCGCAAGCUCUCUGGUGCUCUCGUGUCAACGAUGAUGUUGGGCAGCGACGACCUGAUGAAUAUCGAGAACGCCCUCAGUCAGGGAUUCAUGGAGGGCAUGACAUACACGGUGAAGGACGGCGGCAAGUUGACGCUGCAGUCUAAAACACACAUCAUCAAGCUCGUUCCUGCGUAGAUGCGCGCCCCCUGUCUUAUUAUUAUUAUUAUUUUUUUUUUUUACGCCUCUCGUUCUCUCCCCUCUUUUCUACACUGCCCAUGUACGAGGUUCGCAUCGCACUCUUGCAUUCUGAUGCGUGCAUGCACCACAUACACAUGCACGCACACACACCCAAAGCAAAAGGCACGCGCAUGGCCAUUAUCGACAGAUGGGAGGGAGUGGGGUGGUGGUGGUGGUGAAUGGGGUGUUUUGUGUCACUUCGUACGGUCGACGGAGUCGAUUUGUUCGCCCCUCCCCCUCUCCACCUCUCUUUCGUUUGCGUUACUUUGACUGUGCCUAUUCGCUCUUUGUUUGGUUUUGCCUCAUCCCUGCUUUCAGUAUAUCUGUGAACCAUAUGGAAUAGGAAGGGGGAGAGGGAGGAGAGGGCUUAGGGGGGCUGAUGAGACGGGAGGUCGUGUAGGAACAGGGGGAAGGGAGAGAGGAGCCGUGGGGAUGGUUGGAAUAUUAAGUAGACGAUAUUACCAUCAUCUCCCUGGCUUUUACACACACAAACCUCCUCCUCCUCCGCCCCUCCCCUGCCUAUUCUGUCCUUCAGUCAUUCGCCUACACCGCGUCAUGGGGGCAGCCUGCUUCCGCCGCCUUCUCGCUUUCUUUCCUUUUCAUCACCCCCUUCCUCUCACGCUGGAUUGCUUGGUCUGUAGACGUGCUACGAAGACUGGGGACGAAGGAGAGGAAGGGGGUGGCGGUGUUUGUGGUGGAUGUGCGUGCAACGGCGGGGUUGCUCGAGUGGGAGGGCAACAUGAGGCGUGCCGAGGCCACUGUGCGCUCUGUUCAUCUCUUUGUGCUGUGCCUCUGUUCCAUUGGUCUUCGCGAGCUCUCUCUCUCUCUUUCCAUCAAGACGUUGCUCUCCCUCCAUCAUCCGCAUGUUUUUUCUGUCCUUUUCCUUUUGGGUUCCAUCCACUGGAACGACCCGCUGAUUUCUCUCCUCCUCCGUAUCUUAUGCACCUUAUAUACAUAUGCGUGCAUAUACACAUAUAUUAUAUGUAUAUAUAUAUAUGUGCCCUUCACCUACCGUAUUACUCCUGUGGUUUUGCGUGUGUCCUCUUCGGAGCUCUCUGUCUGUCCUCUACUCUCCGCCUUUCCUUCUUCUCUUGCCGCUGCACAUCUCUUCAUCUGUCUUUCUCCCUUGUGGAGGGUAGUUCGAUGAUGAGGCGCAUGCUCCGCCAAGACGAUUUGGAGUUGACGACGAACAGCAUCGAUUACGGAAUUUCGCCAGCAAAACCGCAGGCAAC
rnacentral:misc_RNA from 1 species